rnacentral:RNase_P_RNA from 1 species
GUGUUCGGGUGAUCGCUGUAUUCUUUAAAGAAUAUAGAGGAAAGUCCAUGCUCGCACGGCCUGUGAUGGCCGUAGUGUUCGUGCCUGGCCAAGUCAUAAGCCAGGGUAGUCUGGAUUUAUCCGGGCUAACGGCAGAAGAACAGCCUGUGUCCACUGUGGAUAUGGCUCAGUAUUCUUGAAAGUGCCAUAGUGACGAAUUCUUCUGGAAACGGAAGAAGUGGAACGCGGUAAACCCCUCGAGCGGGAAACUCAAACUUGGUAGAGGAACCCUUUGGAAGGAAUCAAACGGAAAAAGGGACAGAGUUCAUUCUGUAGAUAGAUGAUUGCCGCUUUUGUACGAGGAGCUGUUGCUCUGAUUGAGUGCGAAAGUACAGAACAUGGCUUACAGAA